CUCAACAGAGAACUGAGCUGAUCUGAUUGAACAUGGACAGAUGCUUCAUACUGAUUCUCAUUGUGGGAACAGGUUUGGUGACUGGAGACGACAUUGAGCCAGAUAAAGGGACAGAAAAAACUUCUAAAGAAACAGAAACUGUCAAGCUGAGCUGCUCAUAUAGUGCAAACAGUGAAUAUGUUUACCUGUACUGGUACAGACAGUAUGCCAACAUAGAACCUGAGUAUUUAUUACGUAAAGGUGCACAAUCAUAUAGUAAUGCAGACAGCUCUGAUCUUCGAUUUCAGUCGAUUGCAUCACGUACAUCCACUGAACUCACUAUUACUGAUGUACGUCUGUCAGAUUCAGCUCUCUAUUAUUGUGCUCUAAGAGUAGCAGCCCAGUGA